rnacentral:rRNA from 1 species
AUUGAACGCUGGCGGCAUGCCUUACACAUGCAAGUCGAACGGUAACAGGUUAAGCUGACGAGUGGCGAACGGGUGAGUAAUAUAUCGGAACGUGCCCAGUCGUGGGGGAUAACUGCUCGAAAGAGCAGCUAAUACCGCAUACGACCUGAGGGUGAAAGCGGGGGAUCGCAAGACCUCGCGCGAUUGGAGCGGCCGAUAUCAGAUUAGGUAGUUGGUGGGGUAAAAGCCUACCAAGCCAACGAUCUGUAGCUGGUCUGAGAGGACGACCAGCCACACUGGGACUGAGACACGGCCCAGACUCCUACGGGAGGCAGCAGUGGGGAAUUUUGGACAAUGGACGCAAGUCUGAUCCAGCCAUGCCGCGUGCGGGAAGAAGGCCUUCGGGUUGUAAACCGCUUUUGUCAGGGAAGAAAAGGUUCUGGUUAGUACCUGGGACUCAUGACGGUACCUGAAGAAUAAGCACCGGCUAACUACGUGCCAGCCGCCGCAGUAAAAC